UGGAUUCCAAUUCUAUUUUAGUACAAUAUAAAGAAACAAAGUUUUAGAACCAUAAAAGUGUUCUUCAGUUUUAUAAAGAUUAUAUUGUACUAUAGAUAAUGUGGUUGUAUUACAUGCUAUGAAAUGCUGACUAUAUUUAUAUCUUAUCGUUACAGGUGGAUUCCAAGGUAUGGACAUUAAGAAGAAUGCUGGAUGUAAAUGGCAAAAUAAAUACUAAAAUUGGAAAAUAAAACAUAGUAAAUAGAGGACAGACUAAUAUCAGUAAAUUAACCAAAUUACCUCAUAGACAAAAAAACAAAUUGUGUACAAAAACUAGCUUGGACUAACUUAGUGACUGGAUUCCUUCAUGUAUCAGCUUAAAUGGAAACUUUCAUGGGUCAAUAUCGAGGUACCUUGGCAACUUCUUCUAAAUUAAGUUACUAGAGUGCCAGGAGGUUCCUGGCUCUUUGCUUUUUAUUCCUUUAAGUGACAUUGCCUGGGUGUGCAUUGAAUAUAUUAUUUAUCAUAUGAUCAAUGAUAUAUUCAACGUAAGAUUUUGAUAUUACAUUACUUACCACAUGCGUGGCUUCUGUGAGGGUCACAUUACUAAAAUAGCCACCUCCAGUCCCAUCUGUAGACAGAUGCAACCUAUGUCUUGUAUCUGGUGGAAGCGAUAUUGAAGGACCCUUACAG